GCGACACAUUCCCAUCAUGAUAAUGCAGAGACCUUGGUGGAUGAUACACAAGGAGGGAUGCAAGAGGCUAGUAUGAUGGAGAACUUUGUUGGGAACGGGGAGGCUCAGCCCACGGUGCCUGCUGCACCAUCAACAAGUACUGAAAAUGAACCCAAGAAGCGCCGGUCAAAUGGAGAUAUUGCUGCUAUGAUGGAGAAGUACAUUGAGAUCAAGAUGAAGCAGGUCGAGAGCAAGCAAAUCGCGAACAUGGAUGAGUACUCAAUCAAGAAUUGCGUGGCUCGGCUAAACACAAUGGGAUUGUCACGAGAGGAUAAGGUCAAAGCCCUAAAAGUCUUUACGGAUGCUGACAAUCGCGAGCUCUUCCUUUGCGUUGAUAUGGAUACAGCUCUGAUGUGGCUGCAAGGCGAAAUGGCUUAGGAAAGAUACAUAAUAGAGGGAAAAGAAAUAGAGUUUUUUCAUGAAGAAGCUCCAGAAGAACUGAAGAAGAUGGGCAAGGGUGCUGUGUAUUGGAUCAGUUUCUGUGCUUUACUGCGGAAAAGCAAAAUAUUUAUUUGUAUUAAUUUGCUGAAUUUUGUUGUUUUCCCCUUAAAAAUCGGAUGGAUCUUCUAGGAUAUUUUUAUUAUCAACUAUAUUUAAGUACAACUGUGUUGCUUGCUUGCUGUUUC